GUCAGAGGAGCUGUGGUAGCUCAGUUAAGCGCCUGCUUCUCAUGCAAGAGAUGCGGGUUCGAAUCCCGGCGCUGACA
rnacentral:tRNA from 1 species